rnacentral:tRNA from 1 species
UUUCAAGGAGGCAGCGGGGAUUUGACUUCCCCUGGGGGUAG